rnacentral:rRNA from 1 species
GUCCUACGGGGGGCAGCAGUGGGGAAUAUUGCACAAUGGGGGGAACCCUGAUGCAGCGACGCCGCGUGAGUGAAGAAGUAUUUCGGUAUGUAAAGCUCUAUCAGCAGGGAAGAAAAUGACGGUACCUGACUAAGAAGCCCCGGCUAACUACGUGCCAGCAGCCGCGGUAAUACGUAGGGGGCAAGCGUUAUCCGGAUUUACUGGGUGUAAAGGGAGCGCAGACGUCUGUGCAGUUCUG